GGUGUGUUGCUCUCAGGAAGACGAGAAAAUAUUGGUCUAUGAAUACCUGCCCAACAAGAGCCUGGACUUCUUCAUCUUUGACCAAGAUAAAAGAGCUUUACUGGAUUGGUCCAAACUUCUGGCAAUCAUUGAAGGAAUAGCACAUGGACUUCUCUACCUACACAAGCACUCCCGUUUGCGCGUCAUACAUAGAGAUCUGAAACAAAGCAACAUCCUCUUGGAUGGCGAAAUGAAUCAAAAAAUUUCAGAUUUCGGGCUAGCAAAAAUAUUCAGCUCAAACAAUACCGAAGGAAACACUACAAGAAGAGUGGUCGGCACAUAUGGCUACAUGGCUCCGGAGUAUGCU